GGAAAACGAGGACGAGUAAGAAAAAGACUCGGACGGCCCACGAAAGGGGAAGGUAGCGCAACGCCGCGCCAGGCGAAGGGGCGGCCGAAGCCCGCCCAGCGGAGGAAGAGGCGGUCUAAAGGCCGCGGCCACACCGAGGGCUGCGAGCGCGCGAGGCUCGGUGGGUUGAUGGGCGCGCGGCACCGUGCGCGGGGGCUGCGGGCGGGGCGGGCCCUCCCGGCACGCCGCCCCUCCCCCUCGGCGCGCCCGCCGUCCUCGCGGCCUCCGGGAGCCCCCCGCCCCACCAGCGCGCGUCCCGCGCCUUCCGUGGGGCGGUGGCCUCAGACUGCGCGUUCCCCGGCUGGGGGAGGGGGCGCUGGGUUUCCGCUGCCCGGUUCCUUUGCUCCACUGCUCCCCCCGACCCCCACGUCCCAGAGGCCUCUGGACCCUGGACGCCGCGCUCCCCCGCCUCACUCCCCCAGGUGCGAGCGACUGGCGAGGCCAAGGGGGCCCAGCGCUUCCCCGGAGCGCGCGGAUGAGAGAAUUGAGACAACAGGAAAAUUAUAUGCACUGCCUAAUAUAAUACAGCAGGGUACAAGCUUCAGGAGGGCAAAGGAUAUCGUCUCUCUUGUUCAUUCCUGAAUCUUCAGCAUCUAAUACAGUGCCAGGCAUAUGGUCAGGAGCCUGUGAAGACAGCAUGGGAGCUGUGUUUGCUCACCAUUAUGUCUCCAGCAUGUAGUGGUAAAAAUGAUCACAAUAUUGACCUUCAGUGAACAUUUGUUGAAGCAAGGAAUGGAUGAAUGGAGUCAUUAUUGUUCUUAGUUAUUCAAAAUGAUUGACAUAUUUGGCCCUUUCUUCAAAAGAAGAAAAGAAAAGCAGAAACUCAGUGUGUUGCUCAUGAAGUGAAGAAUGGCAUGGUAAAAAUUGUGGCAGUUUGUUCUCUGUAGCAAGACAGGUCUCCACAGGACUCAAGCCAUGGGUUCUGCCUUUAACCUUCCAGCAGACCUCCAGUGACUAUGAAGUUGUGAUCUUCUUGCAUUCUGUGCCAUCUUUGUACUCCCAGGAUGGCCAUCGGACCUUAUUGGAGAAUCAUUUCACCACAGUAUCUCAAUAUGCUCUUACACCAAGCCUGGUCCUGCAGGGGCUGUCUCAUUUGCAUCUGGAGGUAUCAAAAUCUUGCUGAGCAAGUCUCUUCCAUCCCAGGCAUCUUUCGAGAUGUGAGCUCAGCACCGUUUUAACGUGAUGCUUCUCGCUUUCCCUGAGGCCUGUUCCAGGAAGAACCCCAAGCAAACCACAUCAGAUACCACCAGGCUUCUCACAGCAAUGAUUCUGAACCCAGAGAUGUGAAACCUGGUUUGGCUACCAAGUCAUGGUGUGACCUCUGGAUGAGUCUUCUUGCCUUUCCAAUGGGCUGUGGGGCUGGCCAGCGUCUGCUCCAUCUUGAUUCCUCCUGCAGUGUUCGUUUCCACUGCAUACAAACAAGAACAGAACACACAAAGCCACCAUCUGGUAAGCAUUCCAGUUGAACUCCUUCAGAUGCAGAAUCACCAGGUUUAAACAUUAAUGGUGAAAGGAACUUUCCUUGCUGGACACAAGUCUCAGGAAGACAGAGCAGGAGAUACUCUGAUGUCCUUUUGCGAUCGCUCCAGGAACAGCAGCAAGAGGUUCAUUGCCUCACCUCAUGCACUGUUCACAAGGGGCUUUGGGAAAAAAGAGAAAGAAAAAAAAAACCCACCACCUGGAGCUGAGAACAUAAUUACACAAACUUGAAAAUGAGGUAAAGACCAAAUUAAAGCAGUAAGCCUAAGGCAUAAAUACAAAUGGAUGACGAUCUGCAAAUCCCUUGUGGCAGCAAGUUAAAAAAAGAAAGUGAGAGAGAUCCUCUUGAUAUUAAAGUAAAAGUUGAAAAAAGUAAAAUGUGGCAGGUAGCACAGAGGUGGAAUCCAGGGGUUUCGCAUUCCUCAUAGGGCUCUGAAUAGACAUGAUCGUCAUAGCAAUAGAGGCACCAGGCACUAUGCUGAGCUUCAUCUCACUUCAAGUUCACUCAGUCCCAGGAGACAGUUAUUGUCACUACUCCCAUCUCACAGAUGGGCAAGUGGACUCCGAUGCUAAAAUCUCAUCCAGAACAUACAGCUAGUGAUACAGCCAGGAUUCAGAGUCAGGGUGUCUUUGUCCUGAGCUUUGCUCUUAACCAAUGUAAUAGACUGUUUAGAGCAGAGUUUAAGAGCAGCCCCAGUCACUGGCUCUAUUCCAGACCAGGGAAACCCGCUUUAUUCAAGGGAUAAGACAAUGUGUCCAAACCCAGUGGCCAAGUUUGCCAUCUUGACUCUCUCUGCUUCUUUUCUCAGCCCCACGCCAAGUACUGUCUUUGCCCCGUUUCUUAAUCCCCCCUGCUAAGUCAUCGUUCUCUCUCCACAUUAUGUAUGACAUUCAUUUCUUCCACUAUACUCAAACUUCUUUAUUUGGUUAUUGAUCACGUAUUGAUUGACUGGUUGGCUGAUUCAUGAGUCUUCAAAUAUCUCCUAAGGUGUGUACUUCAAUACUAAGCUCUGUCGAGGUGCCGAGCCACAGAGAGAAAGGUACGGAGGGUGAGGGUGUGGAGUGACGUGCAGGAAACUCCCUCAGGGAGCUCAUGGUGCAGUGAAGACAAUGUGUUAGGCGAACGUAUCUCAGCUGACAGUGAAGGGGGUGCAGCUGAGCUAUCUGUAGGGGCUGAGAGAAAACACAGAAGGAGCCCCAAAACCCACCUAGGUGAGGACAAUAGAUUCCCUGGAAGUGAUGCUGGAGGUGAGGGGCUCUUCAGUCCCACCUAGGAUAGUGUGCACAGGAGGCCAUUAAUGCUCCAACUCUGCAGUGCACGAGAAGCACCAGGGGACUGGUAGAGAAAUUGGAACAUGGGCCUCAUAACCUCAUGAGCCAUAGAGUCUUAGAUGGCCAUCUGGUUAGUGUCAGGAACCUACGUUGUUAACAAGUUCUCAAAGUUCUCAAUUUCAUUUCAGGUGGUCUGAGCUGCAGCAGGCAGUCAGUUAGUAGUUGCUAAUGAAUACAUGCAAACACACAUACAUACAUGCCAUUGAAAUAGACAAAUGCAUAGUUACAUGUUUAGUAGCUACUCCUCACAGACAGUAUUUCAGAACGCCCCCCCUCUCCUCCACAGUGGAGUUAUUGCACAGUGUUGCUGGAUGAGAGAGUCCAGUUUUCUGGAACCCCUGGAAUAGCUGAUGUGAAGGGUAAAACACACUUAGGUCAAAGUCAUAGUAAGAGGUUUAAUGAACAACAACAACACAAUAACUGUUCAUUGUCCGGGAACAGGAUGUGAAAGUCUGCACUCAGACUCAGUUGAUAAGGCCCAGUCCCCUCCUCUGCCCCAUGGGUCAUGGAAAUAGGAAAAUAACAGAGGUGAUAGUGUCCAUGAGUCUGAGGAACCAGAAAAGUCAGGACAUAGUAUCCACAAAAGGCUGAGCCAAGAAAGGACUCAGCACUUCCAUGAAAUUUCAUAGCAAGGUGGUGAGAAAGGAGAGGAAUAAUAUAAGACUGAGUUGGAAAGGCAGAAUGGACUAGGUGACCUGGCGCCUUGUAGCCAUGGAUGGUGCCUUCCAAUGUAACAUGAAAUGAAAUGGAAAGCCCUUGAAAGGUUUAAGCAAGAAAAUGACAUGAUUUGUUCUAAGAAGGAGGCCUAUUGUGUGGUUAUAACACAAUUUUUAUCCAUUCAGUAGUUGAUAGAUAUUUUGGUUGUUCCUACCUGGUGGCUAUUGUGAAUAGCGCUACUGUGAAUGUUCAUAGACAAGCUUUUGUUUGAAUACCAAUUUUCAGUUCUUUUGGGUAUGUACCUAAGAGUGACAUUGCUGGGUUAAUUAAAUACUUAGCUUCUUAAGGAACUGCCGCAGUGGCUACCAUUUUACAUUCCCACCUCUAUGGAAGAGGGUUCUAAUGCCGUCUACACAUUACAAAAUGGAUGAACCUUGAACACGUUAUGCAAAGUGGAAAAAAGUCAGACACAAAAGGCCAUGUAUUGUACAACUCCACUUAUGGGAAGUGUCCAUGAUAGACAAAUCCAUGGAGUCAGAAGGCAGGUUAGAAGUUGCCAGGGGCUGGAGGAGAGAAGAAAUGGGGAGUGACUGCUGGUGGGUGCAAGGUUUCCUUUUGGAGUGAUGAACUGGAGUUCUAAGUUCUAGAAUUAGACAGUGGUGAUAGUGCUUGCAUAAUACUGUGGAUGCAUCUAAUGCCAUUAAAUUGUAUGCCUCAAAACGGUGAAAAUGGUAAAUUUUAUAGUAUAUGUAUUUUACUGCAAUUAAAAAAAAUGGAUGCCUAGCAAUUGCAUGGAGCAUUAGUUAGGAGGAGGACGUGAGGAAGGCUGCAUGGAGAUGGUUUCAGUAGUCUGCAUAAGGGACCACGGAGGCUCCGAAGAGGAGGGAGGCCGAGGGAUUCUGCAAAGACAAAUGGAGUUCCAUUCACUUGACAAGUGAGUUUUUGGGUUUCAGUAGUCUGCAUAAGGGACCACGGAGGCUCCGAAGAGGAGGGAGGCCGAGGGAUUCUGCAAAGACAAAUGGAGUUCCAAUUGACAAGUACAUCUGAGUGAAACUGCUAGAACAACCAUUCCUUGUUGUUCCUUCUUAAUGCAACCUCUUUUUCUGUUUCCCAUCAAUUUACUCUUUGUAUCCACUGACUCAUCCCUACAUCUCUCCUCCCACUGAACCCUCUAUUUUACUGGAGGCAUCAUGUCUUAUUACAUUUGUUAAAUAAAUAAAAUAAAUCAGUAGCAUCAGAUAGCUUAAGGUUGUAUGUGCAGACCUGCUGAGUGGCUCUCCUCAUUACACCUUCCUCCCCAUUUUCCUAGCCCAGCCAACCUGGGGUCUUGGGUUGCACGGAAGGAAACAGGCCCUGAAAUCAAUACAGUAUUUAACGGGAAGGUGCUGAAGCGUGGCCAGUCCAGAAGCAAUCGGGAGGGCUUCUCCGGCCUGGCUGAAGCCUGCCCAAGCCGUGGUGGAAGCCCCAGAAAGACAAAUUGCAGUCAUCAAUCCCAGGGAAGAAAGACUUGCAUUUUACCUCCUGUAUCAGCAGGAGGGAGAAAGAGUUGCAUCCUGGAAGCUCUGUUUCUGAGAUGGUAAUGAGGAUCCUUCCGACACCGGAUGACAGUGGACUUGAAAGCAAGUCAGAAAUCACCCGGUUUCCUGUUAGCAGCCUGACUUUAUAUGCUGUGGGGUCAGCACGGGCCAGGCCUGUUGGCGUGACUUUGUGGAGAAGGUGCUCUGAUCCCAUUAAUAUGGACUCUGCCUCCUCUGACCCUAACACGAAUAAGCAUGCUGCCAUCCACUGUGCACAAAGAUCAGGUACAAGGAGGAACCACUCAGAGCCAUGAAAAAUAAACAUAACAGACUUGUGCGAACAUCAUUCACUAUACUCUUCUCAUAUAAGACAGUCCUGUGUCUUAUAAUCCAAUUAUAAUGGAGCCUGGUGUUGGGCAUCAUUACGUUUCAUAUCGAAAAAAAAACAAAUACACAGGCAUCCCUGAGUAGAAAGCAAAGUGGCAAGGAGGUUAAGUCCAUUGCUUCUGAAGUCACACAAACCCAAGUUCAACUAUUGGCUCUACACCUCCUAGUUGAAUGACCUUGGUGGGAAGAUUACUUAGAGUUGUAAAGCCUCAGGCUCCUUCUCUGGAAAAUGGACAUAAACAGAAAUGAACAUAAAAUGGACAUAAUCGUAUUGACUUCAUAAAGCUACUGGAGACUAUAUGAUACAUACAUGUUAACAUCUAUUAUGUGGCUUGGGUGCUGGUGAAGGACUUGCACAACAACACAGCACAGAUGUAUAGCAAAUGUUCAGUACUUUUCAACUGUCAUUAUUAUUGGAAUCAUGGCUUUAUGCAAAAGCAGGAAAUUCCUUUGCUAUACCGAUCUACCUCACCUAGGAUUAUGGCAGGAAAUGUCCACAACUAUAAAUGAUCAACUUACUCUUCUUAGCCUUUUCCUCAGCAGAACCCAUUUUCAAUACCGAUCAAGAGCCCUAGUUUGAAUCUAUGCUCAAUUUAUCCCAGUUCUAGUGGGAAAGUACCUCCCUGAGCCUGGAGAAAAAGCUACCCAGAGGAGAGAAAAAUGAAGUCACCCAUGGGACACUGUGGGAGCAGAAAGGAAUGGAGAUUUGGGGGAAGCUUAGUGCCUCUCACUCUGGGUGCCCUCCACCCAAAAACUCUUUAAUCCAUUGCACAUGUCCCCACCCGAGGGAGAAGGUGCUUUUCCAAGACUCUUUUCAAGUACGUGCUGAGUGAGAUGUUCUCCCUCCAUUUAGUACUCUUUGCUCUAGAAAGCUCUGAUGAUUGCCAUUGGCAUGAUGACCUGUGGGUUUGUGUUGGAUGGAGGUGCUAGCGGGAGAUUGGAAACCAUUUUACUAAAGUGAGUGGCUUUACGGAAAGCAUUUGCUGCAAGUAAAACCUAAAGGCUGGGACAAGUGAAAGAAUGUUUAUACCAAUGUGAUUCAUAAUGAGUCCAAACUGAAAAUAUCUAAAUGUCCAUCAACAUUAGAAUGAUUAAUGUGUUCUGUGAUUUCAUUUUUACAAAGUUCAAAAAUAAGCCAAACUAGUUGAUGGGUUUCAACAUGAGAAUAGUACCAGUCGGCUUUGUGACGGGAGUGACUGGGAAGGCAUACAGAAAAAGGCACUAGAAGGUUCUAUUUCGUGAUGCAAGUGGUGGUUACACAGGUGUUUUCAUUUUGCAAAACUUCUUUGAGCUCUAAAUGUAUGAUUCAUGCACCUUUCUUAUAUAUGUGAUUAUUCUAAGAAAAUACUUCACUUAAGUCCAAAGCACUGGCUUCCUGAAGUCCCCAGGAGGCUUUGAGUGGAUUCCGAACACAUGACUUCAGCAGACAUGGGCAAAGGUGCCUCAGCACCAGGACCAGCACCCUCAGCACCACCCCGCUGGGGGCUUUGCCAGCAGGAUAGGA